AUAUCAAAAUUUAGCUACCAAAUUCGUUACUGUAAAAUACAGUAACGGAUUUGGUAGCAAUCUUUAUUUUUUCAUUAGUAUAAGUAUUUGUUAUUCUACUUGUAUUAUGCAUGCAUGUCUGUUAGCAUUAAUGCAUAUUAGAAACAUUUUUAUUAUAAAUCUUUGUCAGCAUGCAUAUUAUAAUGUGUGAUAAAAAAUAUGAUCAUAAAAAAAAAAGAAUUUAGAGAAAUUAAAAGAAGUUCUAUGUAUUGUGUGCGAGUGUUAGUGGUGGCAGCGUCAGAGGCAGAAGACUGCACACACGUGAGCACACCGUACCGAAAAAUAAAUAAUAAUAAUGAGGUUCAAAAAUUUGAAAUGUUUUGAGAAGAAAAAAACAAGCAAGUUCUACUUUAUUUAAUUUGUUCAAUUGCAUUGGAAACAACGCCCUCUAUCUUCAAUCUUCAUCCCUUUUUUUUCUUCUCCCAUUCACGUGUAGUUUUAAGCAACAAUGUUAUAAAGGGGCACAGGCACAGUGAUACUGGCUUUUGUUUUCUUUCUACUUGGAUUUUGGAUAUUAGGUGAAAACUCAGGUGAAGUCGACUUUACGUGAAGUUGAUAGUUGAGAGCCGUUUGAUGAAAAUUUAGUCAAAUAAAUCAAAUCAUCUAAUGGCUCUUAGGUAUCAAAUUCACGUGAAGUCGACUUCACCUGAGUUUCCACCUGGAUAUUAAUUUUCUACAUGGCAUUUUAUAUAUUCAAUGUAAUUUUAUUUAUUUGAUUCAACAAACUUCACCAUUAAUUUGCAAAUCUAUAUAUUGAGAUCAUGCAUGUAGAUAUGUAAUGGUCACAGAGAUUUUCCCAAAAAAUUGGGAACUCGAAUUUGCUAGUACGAAUGUUUUGAGAAGCUGAGAGUGUGUUCAUGGUAGAAAAUGGACAACACAUGGGGCAACUUAGCUUAGCUUGCAUUUAUUGAUGCUGGUCCCAUUGUUCAUUCACUUUCAUCAAUUUGGCAAAAUAAUUCCUCUCUUUUCAUGAUAUCAAAGAGAAGCCUCAAAUUGGUAGCUUGAUAUGGAGUUGUUUGUGUGUAUCAGAUUUUUGGCAUAAUCCACUGGGCCCUC